rfam:Picea glauca, whole genome shotgun sequence.
AUCUAUACAUAUGAGACAUCCGAUAAAAUUGGAACAAUACAGAGAAUAUUAGCAUGGCCCCUGCAUAAGGAUGACAUGCACAAAUUGAGAAAUGGUCCAAAUUUUU